rnacentral:rRNA from 1 species
UACGGGGGGGGCAAGCGUUGUUCGGAAUUACUGGGCGUAAAGGGCUCGUAGGUGGCCAACUAAGUCAGACGUGAAAUCCCUCGGCUUAACCGGGGAACUGCGUCUGAUACUGGAUGGCUUGAGUUUGGGAGAGGGACGCGGAAUUCCAGGUGUAGCGGUGAAAUGCGUAGAUAUCAGGAGGAACACCGGAGGCGAAGGCGACCAACUGGUGGUGCAUUGACGCUGAGGUGCGAAAGCGUGGGGAGCAAACAGG